rnacentral:rRNA from 1 species
GUAACACGUAGUCAACAUGCCCAGGGGACGUGGAUAACCUCGGGAAACUGAGAAUAAACCGCGAUAGGUCACAAUUUCUGGAAUGGAUUUUGGCUUAAAUCUAUAUGGCCCCUGGAUUGGACUGCGGCCGAUCAGGCUGUUGGUGAGGUAAUGGCCCACCAAACCUGUAACCGGUACGGGCUCUGAGAGGAGGAGCCCGGAGAUGGGCACUGAGACAAGGGCCCAGGCCCUAUGGGGCGCAGCAGGCGCGAAACCUCUGCAAUGGGCGAAAGCCUGACAGGGUUACUCUGAGUGAUUUCCGCUAAGGGGAUCUUUUGACACCUCUAAAAAUGGUGUAGAAUAAGGGGUGGGCAAGUCUGGUGUCAGCCGCCGCGGUAAUACCAGCACCCCGAGUGGUCGGGACGAUUAUUGGGCCUAAAGCAUCCGUAGCCGGUUCUUCAAGUCUUCCGUUAAAUCCAGCCGCUCAACGGAUGGGCUGCGGAAGAUACUAUAGGACU